GUUGUUCUCUGUUGUAGUCAUGUGUACGCACACUAGUAAGUUUUAAAAUUUAUUUUUGUGUAUGUACAUGGGUUAUAUGCACAUGAGUGCAGGUGCCUGCAGUGGCCAGAAGAGGGUGCUGGAUCUUCUGGAGUUACUGGUGGUUGUCAACCACCUUAUGUGGGUGCUGGGAAUCAAACUCUGGUCUUGUGGAAGAGCAGCAAGGGCUUCUAACUGAUGAGCCCCAAAUAAAUAAUAUUAUACAUGUUAACUGUGGGAAAUACUAGUACGCUAGUAGUAGCAAACCUGGUUUUUAUUUCUUUAAUUAUGCUUAUAUUUUUUAUUCUCUGUGUGUGUGCUCAUAGGCAUGCAUUCAUGUCUCACAGCACCUGUACAGAGGUCAAAGGACAACUGAUGGGAGCCAAUUCUCUUCCACCACGUGGGCCCCAGGAUGGAAUCGGGUCAUCAGAAAAAUAAGUGGUCAACACAAUACACAGAGGAACAAGGUGAAG
rnacentral:lncRNA from 1 species